rnacentral:lncRNA from 1 species
AUGGCGGUGGGCCCAGCGUCGGCAGGACAGCUUUACGACGGGGGUUGCAGAGCCGAACUUAGGGCCUCUCCCUCCUGGACACGACAACCCGGCGGCCACUCUCCAGGGUGCCGGGGGCCCGCCUCCCUCCUCGUCUCUGGCUGCAGCCCUCUCCCUCUGCAACCCCAGCACGGCUGGCGGAGGCCAGAUGGGAGAGCCUGGGGGGCUGCGCUCAGGCUGGUGGAGCCCCCGAGCCUGUGGCCGGCACCCACACCCGUUACUGUGACGGGACCCGAGACGGCCACCUCCUCAGAAACGAGGUGGCCUCGCGUCCCCGAGGCAAUGGGUCCCACACCGAAGCCCCCGAGGCUCGGGCCAUGGUGCCGUGCGCGGCAGGCAGAGCCCUCACACGCAGGAGCCAGGACCCCAGGGACCCAGAGGGCCCACCUGCGAGAGGGCCCCUCCCUCACGGCCACAGGGGGACCAAGCCCCCUCCCCUCACGGCCACGGGGGGACAGAGCCCCCUCCCCUCAUGGCCACGCAGGGACCGAGCCCCCUCCCCUCACAGCCUCAUGGGAACAGAGCCCCCUCCCCUCACAGCCAUGGGGGGACCGAGCCCCCAGCACGCGCCUCUGCAGAGGGCGGAUUCAGGCCGCGGCCCAGCGCUUGCCGGGUUGGGGUCUCUGUCGUGAUCGGAGGCCUGUGGAGGACAGCCCGGAAGGGCCCAGAGACCGGCCCCGGGCCAGUGUGCGACCUGCAGACAUCUCGCAGGCUCCGAGCCGCCUUCCACCGUCACGUCCUCGGACGCACGCGUCUGUACUGACCCUCCCCCCGGAGUCUGCUAGGAACCAGCGCCCGGGCCGGGGCCUGAGGUGGACACCCGCUCUCCUGCACAGCUCUGCGCACCCUACCUUCUCCUUGGUGCGUUCUGUAUCAUUUUGUUUUAAAAAUUUGAAAGAGACAGAGAGACAGACAGACAGAGAGAGACAGAGAGAGAGAGAGAGAGGUCGUCCAUCCGCUGGUUCACUCCUCAAAUGGCCACACCGGCCAGAGCUGAGCCGAUCUGAAGCCGGGAGCCAGGACUCCAUCCGGGUCUCCCAUGUGGUGCGGGGGCCCCAGCACUUGGCCGUCCUCUGCUGCUUUCCCAGGUCACGGCAGAGCUGGAUCGGAACUGGUGCUCAUGGUGUCACACAUGGUGCCCCGAGCAGUGGCUUAGCCCACGGCGCCACGACACAGCCCCAGCGCCUCCUAAGACGAGAUGCGGAUGCGGCCACGGCCACGGGCACAGCCACGGCACAGUCAGCAGAGGGACACACGGAUCGUGCAGCAGCGGAAGGAGCCAAAAACAGGCCCAGGAAGUGCAGCCACUCCUGUGCCACAACGGUGCAGACACGGGCAACACAGGAGGGGCGUCUCCCCACACGUGCAACACACGUGCACACACAGACGCAGUGCACACACAAUGCACACGCCAGACCGCACUACAGCACACACAAAACACACACAACACACACAACCUACACACAACACACACACUGCACAUGUACAGUACACCCACGCCACACCACGCUGUACCAGUGUACGCACUGCAUACAACACACACGAGUGCACCACACGGUCCACAAGAGAACGCGAAUGGGUCACAGCUGA